UGGCGGCGUGGUUGAUACAUGCAAGUCGAACGGGAAAGUAUCCUUCGGGAUGCGAGUACAGUGGCGGACGGGUGAGUAAUACGUGAUCAAUCUGCCCUUGGGAGUGGGAUAGCCAUUCGAAAGGAUGGGUAAUACCACAUGUGACCACAGCACCGCAUGGUGCAGUGGUAAAAAGGUUGGGAUCUUCGGACCUUCUGCCCAAGGAUGAGAUCACGGCCUAUUAGCUUGUUGGUGGGGUAACGGCCUACCAAGGCGAUGAUGGGUAGCCGGCUUGAGAGGGUGGACGGCCACACUGGAACUGAGACACGGUCCAGACUCCUACGGGAGGCAGCAGUGCUGAAUCAUUCGCCAAUGCGCGAAAGCGUGACGGUGCGACGCCGCGUGCGGGAUGAAGGCUUUCGAGUUGUAAACCGCUGUCAGGAUUUAGGAACCCGUAGUCGUUAAUAGCGGCUACGCUGACCAGAUCCAAAGGAAGCACAGGCUAACCUCGUGCCAGCAGCCGCGGUAAGUCGAGGUGUGCGAGCGUUGUUCGGAAUCACUGGGCAUAAAGGGUGCGUAGGCGGCUUGAUAAGUCAGAUGUGAAAUCCCCCGGCUCAACCGGGGAACUGCAUUUGAUACUGUCAGGCUAGAGAGUGAAAGGGGCUAGCGGAAUUCCAGGUGUAGCGGUGGAAUGCGUAGAUAUCUGGGAGAACGCCAACGGCGAAGGCAGCUAGCUGGGUCACUUCUGACGCUGAGGCACGAAAGCUAGGGGAGCAAACAGGAUUAGAUACCCUGGUAGUCCUAGCCGUAAACGAUGGGCACUACGUGCCGGGAUCCUGACGAUUUCGGUGCGUGAGCUAAUGCGUUAAGUGUCACGCCUGGGGAGUAUGGUCGCAAGGCUAAAACUCAAAGGAAUUGACGGGGGCUCACACAAGCGGUGGAGAUGUUGUUCAAUUCGAAGCACGCGAAGAACCUUACCUGGGCUUGACAUGCUAGCAGUAGGAACCUGAAAGGGGGACGACCGGUAUCCAAUCCGGAACUUAGCACAGGUGCUGCAUGCUGUCGUCAGCUCGUGUCGUGAGACGUUGGGUUAAGUCCCGUAACGAGCGAAACCCCUGUCGUCUGUUGCUACCGGGUUUCAUGCCGGGCACUCUGGCGAGACUGCCGGUGUUAAACCGGAGGAAGGUGGGGACGACGUCAAGUCAUCAUGGUCCUUACGCCCAGGGCUACAAACGUGCUACAAUGGCGGGCACAGGUAGAGCCGCGAAACCGCGAGGUGGAGCAAAUCUUCAAAACCCGCCCCAGUUCAGAUUGGAGGCUGCAAUUCGCCUCACAUGAAGUUGGAAUCGCUAGUAAUCGCGGAUCAGC
rnacentral:rRNA from 1 species